rnacentral:lncRNA from 1 species
CGGAGCUCCGGCCGCCUCCCGAACAAAGGGACCCGGCGCUCUUUGUGUCGCGGGAGCGCCUCGGGUGCGGGCGUGCGGCACGGCCGCGACCACCGCCGGGCUGCCGGCUGAAUGAGAGCGCGGGGCCCGCUCUUAUUUCUCCCCGCCGUUGUGCGGAUGGGAGACCUUUGCGCUACGCCCUGAGCGCUUGCGUAGCGAGUCUGACGGCUGUGCCGAAGCGAUCGGACGUGAAAACGGGCGCCUUAACGCACCUCCACAGCUGAUCUCGGGGAGAGCCUUGCGUAUAACGAGGUGCUGUUGUCAUUCGUGCGCAAACACCGCACGCUGGCUUCUCCUGGGUGAUACUGGGGGCUGCAGGGAAAGCACAGCGCUGAGCAGGUGGCUCCAGCGCGGCCAUAGAGGCACCCGUGCAUCCAGCAGUCUGGGUGCGGAGAGGUGGCUCUCGCCCUCCGUUACAGGGGGCCACGCUCCCCAGGCAGCCAAAGGAGCAGCAAGGCAAAAGGCCAACUACAGCAAAGACCCGAGCCCUGCUUACAGGGAGGUCGCCCAGCACAAAGCCCACCAGGACGCCAAAGGCGCCGGCAGCGCUCAACUCAAAUGCGACUGCGGCCCCGCUAACAGGACAGCAGCUCCUGAAACAUCAGCGGGGACACCAUUAGACCCGCGCAGUGGCAAGCCCCCCACCUGAAGGAAAAGGCAAACGCAGCAUUGCAAAGGAACUCGGCACGCAAACACCCAGCCAAGAAAGGCCUCGCAUCCCUGUGUUCCCUCCAUCCCCCCCUCCCCCCCCCCCCGCCUCCCAGCUUCAUCCCAGCAAAAACUACUUCAAGCAGCUUUUCUCACCUCACUGAUGCGCGGCGGACUUCCAGCCGGUGCUGCGGGGGAUCACAGAGGCGGGCAGACUGGGCAAAUGGGGCUGGGCACACAAAAAGCAGCAGCCAAAGAGUCAGCUUCCCUGCUUACAGGGGACCCCCGGCCACUGCCGCCAUUGAAAAGGGCCUGGGACUCCGGGACACAGAUGCUCCCUGACUUACAGGGCAGCCCCCAUCCCUACGGCCGAGGGAGGCUCCUUCUCUCCCAGUCCGGGGCACCUCGACCCACACCCCGCUAGCGGGGCGGUCACCCCACACAGGCUGCCAGCAGAGCACAAACGCUCACGCACCCAGACCCUGAUUACAGGCGGGUGGACAACACCCCUGGAGCCACAGAGCUCGGUUUCCCCCCCAGCGGCAGGAGCAACUCUCAGCAGCCAGGCAGCGGGGCGGCACGGCCAAAGGCCGCAGUCGGGAUCCCAGCCCCGAUUCCAGGGAGGGCGCAAGCCCCACCCCGCGUCUCACGGCCCCGCGCCUCUGAAAGGCCGGGGCCACAUUCCCACCUGAGUACAGGGGGUCUCUCAGAACGCAGCUCACCAAGCACACACGGGGGGCACACACAGCCCUGCCUACAGGACGGUACUCCCACACCUCACCCUCUUCAAGAAGCCCCGCGGAGCACGAGGCUCCCGCCAACGCCUGAGCUACAGGCUGGCCCGCCCGGCAGCAGCAGAACAUCACCAACGCCUCGUCUUUGGAAGCCCAGGGAGCUACCUCGACCCACCGAGCGGGGAGGUCACCCCACACACAAACAGCACCUCAACCUGCACCCUCUGACGGGACAGGGAGGGGUCACUCCCACCAGCUGGAUGGCUAAAGCAGCCGGCUGCAACGCUGCAGCCUCCCCACACCUGAUUACAGGGCGGGCGGGCUGCUCAGGGACAGAGGGCUCCAAAGCUUGGGACACGCACCCCGAGUACGGGGCCGUCGCGUUGACAAGCCACCAUCAGGCAACGAUGCCGAGGGGCCGGGGGAGGAAGAGGGGCAGGGAAACGGCACUACCCUGCUUACAGGGUGGCCUCGGGGUCCGGCGAGCUCCAUUUCCCACUCAGGUGCGGAGAGGUGGCUCUCGCCCUCCGUUACAGGGGGCCACGCUCCCCAGGCAGCCAAAGGAGCAGCAAGGCAAAAGGCCAACUACAGCAAAGACCCGAGCCCCGCUUACGGGGAGGUCGCCCAGCACAACGCCAGCCUGGUCACCAAAGGCGCCGGCAGCUCUCAACUCAAACGUGACUGUGCCCCCGCUAACGGGACAGGUGCUUUGCCCAGGGAGCCUCUCUCCUUCCCCCCCGCAUCUGCACGCUUCCGCUUCCUCUUCUUGCUUGCUCCUGCCUCCCAGCUCCCCACGCCGCUUCUUCUUCUUCCUUCUGCAGUAGCUCCU